rnacentral:rRNA from 1 species
GAUCUCCUACGGGAGGCAGCAGUGGGGAAUCUUAGACAAUGGGCGCAAGCCUGAUCUAGCCAUGCCGCGUGAGUGACGAAGGCCUUAGGGUCGUAAGCUCUUUCGCCAGGGAUGAUAAUGACAGUACCUGGUAAAGAAACCCCGGCUAACUCCGUGCCAGCAGCCGCGGUAAUACGGAGGGGGUUAGCGUUGUUCGGAAUUACUGGGCGUAAAGCGCACGUAGGCGGACUGGAAAGUUGGGGGUGAAAUCCCGGGGCUCAACCUCGGAACUGCCUCCAAAACUACUAGUCUAGAGUUCGAAAGAGGUGAGUGGAAUUCCGAGUGUAGAGGUGAAAUUCGUAGAUAUUCGGAGGAACACCAGUGGCGAAAGCGGCA